GAUGAACGCUGGCGGCGUGCCUAAUACAUGCAAGUCGAGCGAAUGGAUUAAGAGCUUGCUCUUAUGAAGUUAGCGGCGGACGGGUGAGUAACACGUGGGUAACCUGCCCAUAAGACUGGGAUAACUCCGGGAAACCGGGGCUAAUACCGGAUAACAUUUUGAACCGCAUGGUUCGAAGUUGAAAGGCGGCUUCGGCUGUCACUUAUGGAUGGACCCGCGUCGCAUUAGCUAGUUGGUGAGGUAACGGCUCACCAAGGCAACGAUGCGUAGCCGGCCUGGGAGGGGGAUCGGCCACACUGGGACUGAGCCACGGCCCAGACUCCUACGGGAGGCAGCAGUAGGGAGUCUUCCGCAAUGGACGAAAGUCUGACGGAGCAACGCCGCGUGAGUGAUGAAGGCUUUCGGGUCGUAAAACUCUGUUGUUAGGGAAGAACAAGUGCUAGUUGAAUAAGCUGGCACCUUGACGGUACCUAACCAGAAAGCCACGGCUAACUACAUGCCAGCCGCCGCCGUAA
rnacentral:rRNA from 1 species